rnacentral:rRNA from 1 species
UGGGACCUGAUAUCAGGCAAAAUACCCGG